rnacentral:rRNA from 1 species
CGAACGGGGAGAUUCAUCGUCAGCGGCGCUGGCUUCGCGUCGGUGGGCGAUGUCCCGCGGAGCCUCGCGGCUCUCGCGCGGGCACGCUACCGUGCGUCGAUGUCCGGCGCUCGUCGUCGUGCACUUCUCCCCAAGUAGAACGUCGCGACCCGCUGGGUGUCGGUCUACGGCCCGGGUGCGGUGACUGUCGCGUCGCCGGUAAAACGGCACGCGACAAACCCCCGGUCGCCCGGCCGGCUGCUCGGCGGUACGCGCAAGGUAUCAGGCCGCACUGUUUGGUGCGUCGAGGCCGUCGCAAGCGCGCGCCACGGUACUCGGAGGUUACGGACUUUGCGCCGUCCCCGGUCCUGGCCCGCUGUUGGUUAAAGUACGGCUCACCUUCGACAGGCCUGCGAACGUCCCCCUCCCUCUCUUGUCUGAGUGUCGAGGGGGAUCUAUACCGGUCGGCGACGCU